rnacentral:rRNA from 1 species
UACGUAGGGUGCAAGCGUUGUCCGGAAUUAUUGGGCGUAAAGAGCUCGUAGGCGGUCUGUCGCGUCGGCUGUGAAAUCCCGAGGCUCAACCUCGGGUCUGCAGUCGAUACGGGCAAACUGGAGUGUUGCAGGGGAGACUGGAAUUCCAGGUGUAGCGGUGAAAUGCGUAGAUAUCUGGAGGAACACCGGUGGCGAAGGCGGCGUUCUGGACUGCAACUGACACUGAGGAACGAAAGCCAGGGGAGCAAACGGG